rnacentral:rRNA from 1 species
UACGGAGGAUGCAAGCGUUAUCCGGAAUGAUUGGGCGUAAAGCGUCCGCAGGUGGCUGUGUAAGUCUGCUGUUAAAGAGUCUAGCUCAACUAGAUAAAAGCAGUGGAAACUGCAUAGCUAGAGUACGUUCGGGGCAGAGGGAAUUCCUGGUGUAGCGGUGAAAUGCGUAGAGAUCAGGAAGAACACCAGUGGCGAAGGCGCUCUGCUAGGCCGUAACUGACACUGAGGGACGAAAGUGUGGGGAGCGAACAGG